GACAGCAGUCGCCACGGGAAUACGUAGGGUGCAAGCGUUAAUCGGAAUUACUGGGCGUAAAGCGUGCGCAGGCGGUUUGUUAAGACAGAUGUGAAAGCCCGGGGCUCAACCCCGGAUGUGCCUUUGAAACUGCAGGGCUAGAACGUCGGAGAGGUGAGUGGAAUUCCGAGUGUAGAGGUGAAAUUCGUAGAUAUUCGGAAGAACACCAGUGGCGAAGGCGGCUCACUGGACGACUGUUGACGCUGAGGUGCGAAAGCGUGGGGAGCAAACAGGAUUAGAUACCCGAGUAGUCCCUGUCUCUUAUAC
rnacentral:rRNA from 1 species